rnacentral:rRNA from 1 species
CAGCCGCCGCGGUAAUACGUAGGGUGCGGGCGUUAAUCGGAAUUACUGGGCGUAAAGCGGGCGCAGACGGUUACUUAAGCAGGAUGUGAAAUCCCCGGGCUCAACCUGGGAACUGCGUUCUGAACUGGGUAACUAGAGUGUGUCAGAGGGAGGUAGAAUUCCACGUGUAGCAGUGAAAUGCGUAGGGAUGUGGAGGAACACCGAUGGCGAAGGCAGCCCCCUGGGCCAAUACUGACGCUCAUGCACGAAAGCGUGGGGAGCAAACAGGAUUAGAUACCCCAGUAGUCCCUGUCUCUUAUAC